AACGAACGCUGGCGGCAUGCCUAACACAUGCAAGUCGAACGAGAUCCUUCGGGGUCUAGUGGCGCACGGGUGCGUAACGCGUGGGAAUCUGCCCUUAGGUUCGGAAUAACAGUUAGAAAUGACUGCUAAUACCGGAUGAUGACGUUAAGUCCAAAGAUUUAUCGCCUGAGGAUGAGCCCGCGUAGGAUUAGCUAGUUGGUGUGGUAAAGGCGCACCAAGGCGACGAUCCUUAGCUGGUCUGAGAGGAUGAUCAGCCACACUGGGACUGAGACACGGCCCAGACUCCUACGGGAGGCAGCAGUGGGGAAUAUUGGACAAUGGGCGCAAGCCUGAUCCAGCAGUGCCGCGUGAGUGAUGAAGGCCUUAGGGUUGUAAAGCUCUUUUACCCGGGAUGAUAAUGACAGUACCGGGAGAAUAAGCCCCGGCUAACUCCGUG
rnacentral:rRNA from 1 species